rnacentral:rRNA from 1 species
UACGUAGGGGGCAAGCGUUGUCCGGAUUUAUUGGGCGUAAAGAGCGUGUAGGCGGCCUUAUAGGUCUGCUGUGAAAUCUCGAGGCUCAACCUCGAGACGUCGGUUGAAACCGUAUGGCUAGAGUCCGGAAGAGGAGAGUGGAAUUCCCGGUGUAGCGGUGAAAUGCGCAGAUAUCGGGAAGAACACCAGUGGCGAAGGCGGCGCUCUGGGACGGUACUGACGCUGAGACGCGAAAGCAUGGGGAGCGAACGGG